rnacentral:lncRNA from 1 species
GUCCUCUAGUCUUCUCUUUGGAUGACAUCACCUCCUUUGAGGAACUUGGGGGUUGGUUUUUGUUUUGGCAAUGAUCCCAAAGGAAGAGGAUGCCUUUACUGUCGGAGAGAACUUUGGUGCCCUCUACUGGUGGUUUUGGUUUCUUCAAAUUGCAGGCCUCCAUUUGAUGGUUCAUGGAAUCCAUUUAGUGGGUUCUAUCAAAAUUUUCUUAAAAAGUGAAAAUGUAGAUUACCAUAUAGUAAGUAUAAAUAUUUAUUUGUGAAACUUUGUUUCCAGUAUGUAUAUGUGAAUGCAGAAUCCAGGUGAUUUCCAGUUAGCAACAUUUAGCACCUAUAUCCAGCAGGAUAUAGAGUUAGCAUGAGGGGAGUGAGGCAGGGUGGAAUAAGUGCAGGGUUAGAUCCUAUCUCUAUUUAAAAUUUUGAAAUUUGGUUUAUAAUGGGUUUUGUGCAUUAAUUUUGAUUUUAAAAAAGCAUUGCUUUACAAUAGUAUUUAUUUUGAUUACUGAGCUUUUUGGUGCCCUAAGUGAGUGUCUCGCUUGUGUCUCUCUGACAGUCAGUGUGCUUUAUGGAGGGCCUGGAGAAGGUGGGCCAGCCUGUGGAGCCGUGAAUAGGAGGCACACGUGGGGAUGAGAAGGGACAAUGCGUGUGAUGUCUUCUUCUGAGGGACCCUCCAUUUGGACUGCCAUUGGGAUCACCCAGUUCCAGCUGACCGGCCAUCUGAACCUGACUGAGGUGCCAGUUUUCUGUCAUUUAGGAUUGAAUUCAACUGGUUGUUUUCAAUACUUCAAGGUAGAAGACACUCCUACUUUAUUAUUCUCCUUUGUGCCUAGUAUAAAUGUUACGGAGCCAGGCUGGAAUGCUGGUGGAAAAACCAAGCGGCACUCAGAGAUCUUGGUGGAUCAGAGAUUUAUUUAACACCAGCGGGCUCAGAGGAGACUGUUUCUCCAAAGAUCUGAGCGCCGAAUGCAAGUGGGGAGGGUAAUUUACAGUUGUCAGCUUCCAUAAGUGUGGAGGUUUUCGUGAGCGCAGCAAACCAAGGAAGAACCCGGAGGAGUGGUCUCUAAGCUAGAGACCAGAGCUUGUUUUAGUCCCGUUGGCCAUCUUUGGCGCAGUAUUUUAUUCAUUUCUCUGACAUAAGUACUUACAUAGAAAGUACUCAAAUACUAACAGGAUGAAUCGAAAUACUGGAAAUUGUUGUAGUUUAGUGUAAAUUAAAAUGCAGACCUCGAUCACCUUAAUUACAACUUCAAUGGGUAUGGUUGGUUUUGCAUAUAUUUUAGGAUCAGAAAGUAGACUCAACAAGGAAAUGAGUUACUAGCAGGGGUGAGGCAAUAAAGGAGAGGUGACUGUAGUAAACCGGCUUAGU